GACGAACGCUGGCGGCGUGCCUAAUACAUGCAAGUCGAACGCUGACGAGAGGAGCUUGCUCUUCUUGGAUGAGUUGCGAACGGGUGAGUCACGCGUAGGUAACCUGCCUGGUCGCGGGGGAUAACUAUUGGAAACGAUAGCUAAUACCGCAUAAUAUUGAUUAUUGCAUGAUAAUUAAUUUAAAGAUGCAACUGCAUCACUACCAGAUGGACCUGCGUUGUAUUAGCUAGUUGGUGAGGUAACGGCGCACCAAGGCGACGAUACAUAGCCGACCUGAGAGGGUGAGAUGCCACGCUGGGACUGAGACACGGCCCAGACCCCUGCGGGAGGGAGCAGGAGGGAAGUUUCGGCAAUGGGGGGAACGCUGACCAAUGGACGCCGGGUGAGUGAAGAAUGUAUUCGGAUCGCAAAGGUGAGUUGGAAGAGAAGAUCGGAUGGGAGAGUUGAAAGGGCACACUGUGACGGUAUCUGACCAGAAAGCUACGGCUAACUGCGUG
rnacentral:rRNA from 1 species